rnacentral:tRNA from 1 species
GGGCGGAGUAGCUCAAUGGUAAGAGCGCCCGCUUCGGCGGGAGGUCGCGGGUUCGAGUCCCGUCCCGCCCA